AUGUUGUCGAAUUGUGCCCCUAGAUUAGAAGGCAAUCCCAUAUGCUCAAAAGUCAAAGAUACGUACUGUUCAAAUAAGAAGAAGAAGACAUCUACUGUGCUCAUCGCAGUGAUAGUUCCUGUGGUACUGGUAUCCCUCCUAGUAGUGAUGGGCAUACUCUGGAAGUUAUACUGGAAAGGGAAGUCAGGAGACGAUGAAGAUUAUGCUAUGUAUGAAGAGGAAACUCCCCUACAUAUUGAUAUCAGACGGUUCACAUACGCAGAGCUGAAACUCAUAACUAACAACUUUCAAUCAAUCAUCGGAAAAGGAGGUUUUGGUAUUGUUUAUCAUGGCACACUGGAAAAUGGUGAUGAGGUAGCUGUCAAGGUGCUUAUGGAGACAUCAAUAGCAGAGUCAACAGACUUCCUCCCUGAGGUGCAAACAUUGUCCAAAGUUCAUCACAAGAAUCUCGUGACUUUGCAAGGAUAUUGCCAGAACAAGAAGUGUCUUGCACUCGUUUAUGAUUUCAUGCCCAGAGGAAAUCUUCAACAGCUUCUAAAAGGAGGAGAUGAUUAUAGUUUGACUUGGGAACAGCGACUUUAUAUUGCCCUUGAUGCUGCACAAGGACUGGAGUAUCUACACGAAUCAUGCACCCCAUCAAUAGUACACAGAGAUGUGAAGACCCCAAACAUCCUUCUGGACAAGAAUCUGGUGGGGGUAAUAUCUGAUUUUGGGCUUUCACGGGCUUUUAAUGAUGCUCACACACACAUAUCUACUGUUGCUGCUGGCACACUUGGCUACCUCGACCCUGAGUACCAUGCAACUUUCCAACUCACUGUCAAGACAGACGUUUACAGCUUCGGAAUCGUGCUCUUGGAGAUCAUCACCGGCCAAUCCCCAGUAUUCAUGGACCCUCAAACCGUCCACCUACCGAAUUGGGUGCGGCAAAAGAUAGCUAAAGGCAGCAUUCAUGAUGUCGUAGACAGGAGGCUGCUGGAUCAGUAUGAUGUCAGUUCCCUGCAGGGUGCGGUGGACCUUGCCCUGAACUGCGUCGAAAACGCAGCCAUCGACAGGCCCACCAUGACAGAGGUUGUUUCAAGGCUCAAAACGUGGUUGCCGGCGGUUUCAACCGACAAGCAGUCUACUUCCGGGACCCCUCGACGCAAGUACUCCAUGAAUACCGAAAUGCCAAAGCAGUUCCAGUCGAUGAUUUCAGGAGUAAGCAACGCGGAGAGUUCCUUCCAGUCUUCUGGCUAUACCGAUGGGAAUGGGAUGUCACAAGCAACCAUCUUUUCUGGACGGUGA
rnacentral:rRNA from 1 species